ACUCAAAGGAAUUGACGGGGGCCCGCACAAGCAGCGGAGCGUGUGGUUUAAUUCGAUGCAACGCGCAGAACCUUACCCGGGCUCGACAUGCCCGUGGUACCGAGGCGAAAGCCGAGGGACCCGCGAGGGAGCGGGCACAGAUGCUGCAUGGCUGUCGUCAGCUCGUGCCGUGAGGUGUUGGGUUAAGUCCCGCAACGAGCGCAACCCCCGCCGCCAGUUACCGUGUCUGGCGGGACCGCCCGAUGAGGGAGGAAGGAGGGGACGACGUCAAGUCAGCACGGCUCCUACGUCCGGGGCUACACACACGCUACAAUGGCCGGUACAGAGGGCGGCGACGGGGCGACCCCGAGCGAAUCCCGCCAAAGCCGGCCCCAGUUCGGAUCGCAGGCUGCAACCCGCCUGCGUGAAGUCGGAGUUGCUAGUAACCGCCGGUCAGCACACGGCGGUGAAUACGUUCCCGGGCCUUGCACACACCGCCCGU
rnacentral:rRNA from 1 species